UACGUAGGGGGCAAGCGUUGUCCGGAUUCAUUGGGCGUAAAGAGCGUGUAGGCGGCCAGGUAGGUCGGUUGUGAAAACUGGAGGCUCAACCUUCAGAGGUCGACCGAAACCAUCUGGCUAGAGUCCGGGAGAGGAGAGUGGAAUUCCUGGUGUAGCGGUGAAAUGCGCAGAUAUCAGGAAGGAACACCCGGUGGCGAAGGCGGAUCUGCUG
rnacentral:rRNA from 1 species